ensembl:misc_RNA 7SK 7SK RNA
GGAUGUGAGGGCGAUCUGGCUGCAACAUCUGUCAGUCACCCCAUUGAUCGCCAGGGUUGAUCAGGCUGAUCUGGCUGGCUAGGCAGGUGUCCCCCUCCUCCCUCACCACCCAUGUGUGUCCCUCCCCAAGCUGCACGCUUGGUCGAAGAGGAUGACCUUCCCCUCAGAGGAGAGGACCGGUCUUCAGUCAAGAGUAUAGUUGUAGCUGCGCUCCCCUGCUAGAACCUCCAGACAACUCUCAAUUAAUAGCCUGAUCACCUAGAACUCAUGAAGGUUUGGUUUAAAACUUUUGUAAAGAACAGAUCUGUGGAAAGCCUAAGUUUCU